ensembl:lncRNA
AUCUCUCUGUGAGUUCAUCUUGACCAUUAGCCUCCAGGCUCAUUCUUGGGUCCAGAAGCCAGCUUUUCAUCCUGCUUUUGUCACCUGCUGCCCAAGCUCUGACUUCCUACAGUCUAUGUGCAUGGGAAGAAGCAAGGAAUUAAAUAGUAGUUUGGUUCACUAAGGGCGGUUCUACAAGUGCAUGAUGGAGGUUGCAAAUACUUGAGAGAGAGAGCAUACCAUGAUAUUUGUGAGUAUUGCAUUCAUCUCUGUGAAUAUAGUGGAAGAAAUCUGUACUGACUGUUUUCAAAGAAUCUGCACAUGUGUGCAUGCUCUACCUACAUGUCUGCAUUUCUUUCUCAUCAGCACAGCCAAUUGUUUUAUUGCCCUAUGAUUCGGUACAUUGGAAACACCCUAAAGCUCACCAUUUGGAUUGUAGUAUAGAUACUUGAUGUUAAAAGUCUGACCCUGUUUCUUCUCUUGUAGUGAAUCUAUGAGAGUCACAGUUCCAAAUGUUAUGUAACAUCAUGACCUUUCUUUGAUGUGUUGUGGUGUGGCAGACAGAUGUACAUAGGCAUCAACAUCCUGGAUAUUUCAAACUACGCUUGUUCUUCAUAACAGGAUUUAGGAGACAGAAUGGGCCUUCUGUGCAAUCCAACUUUACCAUGUGAAAGAAAACACAUAUAAAAAGCAGAUUCUCUGUUAUUUAGGAAUGAGGUUCUUUGGGGUCAGUUUUUUAUUUAAUUUAAAUACAUUUAGGUUUUACAUUCAAAAUGUAUUCCCACUUCAUGGACUUACAGAGUCAAACAUGAAAGGCUAAAAGAAGAAUUCUGAUAGUAUUUUAAGACAAUUAAGCUGCAGAAUGUCAAUAUUUGGACACCUAAAAAAGAAAAUGUUUCCUUUAAUGGGUGUUAAUGUACUCGCUAGUAUACUAAAAAAAGAGUUCAUAAGGGACCCUUGAAUUUACUAAUGUUUUCAAGGAGGACAGUUUUAGUUUAACUGCUGAGGAAAUGUUUUAUUUCAACUAGGAAGAAGAGGGUUUUAUAUACAAAUGGGAUGAUUUUACAAUAUGGGGAGGAUUUGGAGAGAGGGAUGAAACCCUAAGGAUCAGAAACGUGAAACAGGGAAUGUGAAGGGAAGGACAAGAGUGAGAGGUGUGAGGGGAAGAGGGUGCCAUCUGUGGGAGGGACAGGGCUGCGUUUUGAAUCGUUGGUUGCUCCCAUGGGGUCCAAACUAGAAGUUCUUCUGUAAGUGGUAAAGGGACUCACAUAGGUAGCCUAUGGCCAGCCUCACACAUGGGUGUGGAGGCCCCCAAAACACAGAGCAGAUGCAGGCAGAAAAUGAUGGGGAGGGCAGAGCAUGAGAACUGGCACAUGCCAAGGCGAGUGGGAAGAUGCACAGAGGUACACUUUACAUGUGCCACACACAAGGUUUCUAGUAUACUCAAUUAUCUCAAAUCCAUAGGGUAGAUGCCAAUAUAAAGCCAAAUGUACUAACUUGGAAGCCUAGGGUUUUGUUUGUUUGUUUUGUUUUGUUUUGCUUUUUAGGGCUCCACCCACAGCAUAUGAAGUUCCCAGGCUAGGGGUCAAAUUGGAGCUACAGCUACUGGCUGCAGCCAUAGCUACGACAAUGCGGGGUCCAAGCCAUGUCUGCAAACUACACCACAGCUCACCGCAAUGCUGGAUCCUUAACCCACUGAGCAAGGUGAGGGAUCCAACCCAUAUCCUCGUGGAUACUAGUUGGAUUUGUUACUGCUUAGCCAUAAUGGGAACUUCUCUUUUUUUAAUGCCUGUGUUUAAAGCUUUUUAUUAAGAGAGUAUAACAGAUAUGGAACAUAACAGAUAUGGGAUAUAAAGUUUAGGUUGGGGUUUCCAUUUUGAAGAGUGCUAAUGGAUUCCUUAGCCAUUCCCUUGUUAGAAACUUAGGUGCUUUUCCUCAUCCCAGCAGGAUAAUUUCCCAGCUAGUUAGUGUGACAUGCAAAACUAUUCCUAUUCAAGCCAUAGCCUACCUGUCCAACUCCUCUCCAACUGACUAGUCAAGCCUAAAAUUCUUUGACGUCUUCUAUAACUAGGGAAUUUUGGUGUUUAUCCAUCUCAUUAGGGUUACAGAAUGAUGCCUCUGAUGGAUUUGAUUACAUGGUAUAAGUACCUGUAUAAGUACCUAUAUCUUCCUGGAAAGUGUGGGAGACCAGUAUCAUUUGUUAGAAGAGGAAUCAUUGAGACAACAGGGCUUACAGAAGCAUUGACUGAAGGAGGAAAUGGAACUAGAAACUUGGGUGUUAAAUAAGUGAAGAGAGGUACCAAAUGUAACCAACUGUCUAAAAAGAUCUAAGAAGGUCAUUCAUUUACCCUAGCCCUCAGAUUUAAAACACCUACUAUAUGCUAAGCCCUAGGCUGGACCUUUCUUAUACAAAGGCAGGCAAGAUAGGCAUCCUGGAGCAUAUGGACAAGUAACUUGGUGAUGACAGUGACAUUUAUCCUGUGUUCUGAUGGAAGGUUAUGCUAUAAUGAGGCAAAAAACAAGAGCACCUCAUCAAAUUUAUAGUGUACCCGUGAACAGCUUCUCAGAGGACAAGACACUUAACAGAUCUGAAGGGNNNNNNNNNNNNNAAAGACAAGCUGGAAGGCUGACCAGCUAGACCUGGAAAAUACCCUAAAGGCCCAGGCAGCUUACUUUAGAAGUUGAUGGAAAAGGUAGACCUUUGUUUCAGAAGGGAGCUAGAUGAGGAGAAACAUCAUCCAUUGAGGAACCAUCAUAAGCCAUGCUUUACAUACAUUCUCAUAGUUCAUCUUGCAUACAGCAGAUUUCCCUUUUGUUUUAUAGAUGAAGAAAAAAGAAGUGCAGGGAGAAUAAAGAACUUGGCCAAGGACACACAGCUUCAUGCCAACUCCAUCUAGAACCCAGCUUUGGCUAUUCUGGUCCUUUGGCCUCCAUGCUUCCCACUGCAAAUACCCUUCUCCCUUGGUGUCAAGGAAAAAAAUAACUUAUAAGCAGAUGGAUAUUUAAGUUAUAAAUCAAUUAGGUCUUAGCCUUUAAAUCAUACCCAGUCUUUUCAGUGAAAAGUUUUCAUAGUCAUUUAAUGAAUGAGUGAUAUUUGGAGGGUAGGUAUAAGAAGCACAAUGGAAGGCAAAUGAUCUUUACUUUCCUUGGAUCUCCAGUCUAUCAUGUCAUCCUUAGGUGAAUUUACUAAAUCCAGAUCCAAUCUCCUCUUAUACUCUUUUAUAUGUCACACAGAAUUCAUUGCUUCCUGCUCUGUCCAUCUUGUGACCAUAGGACUUAAAGUGUACUUCAAAGAUUUUAGCUGAAUGUAGAGAUAAGGUGGUAAAUGUUGAACAACCAUCUCUUAGGAGAAAGUCUUACUUGUAGUAUCUGCCAAUUUCCAUUGUAUAAAUGCUCCCCUGAUUUCAAUCUCCCAAUGUGAUUUCACUGAGUGUGGACUUGGGAGGAGUUGUGCCAGAGGGCUCCAUUAUUGAGAUUUUCCACUGUAUACAUAUACUAGAUAUAGACAACCUCAAUAGCAUAGAUAGGUAGUAAGAUAAUUAGAAAGUGCUAUGUUUUGAGUACUACUUACCUUUAAUUUCCAUUUAAUUUAUUUAAUUUUAAGUUUAUAUAAUUUAAUUUUUAAUAGUGGCUGUGUUUCAUAAUUGGCUCACAGAGUUCCUGAGAAUUCAACCACUGGCCCUUCUGAGCUGGUAGCAGCUGGUUCCAACACACCACUGAAUCAUUAGCCUCUGAGGCAGGAGAUUUUUGUGUUCAUCUUUGUGUUUUCAGUGCUGAACUGAAUUCAGUUAAACCUAAAACACAGGGGAUGUUUGGUACAUCAGUAAAUGAUAAAUAAAAAAAUUGGACAGGUGUUCCUGCUGUGGCUCAGCAGGUUAAGAACCUGACACAGUGUCCAUGAGGAUUCAGGUUUGAUUCCUGUCCUUGCUCAGUGGGUUAAGGAUCUGGCAUUGCUGCAAGCUGUGGUGUAGGUUGCAGAUGUGGCUUGGAUCCAGUAUUGCUGUGGUUGUGGUGUAGGUCACAGUUCUAGCUCUGAUUUGACUGCCUAGCCUGGGAACUUCCGUAUGCUGCAGGUGCAGC